GGCGUCAUCGUUUCGGGGAGUAUGCGGAUUCGCCGUCCACAUGAGAAUGGGAGGGCUGCAUUUUCGGAGUUUUCCACCCUGAGACCCGUUUUCAAAAAAGUGUGUUUUCAGGAUCCGUGUGGACGGUCGGCCAGAACGAUGCAAUACAUGUGUGUUUUCGUGUGGACUCCAGUGGACCCAGAAGGAGAGGCUCCUGAAGAAGUACGGACUCUGGCUGCAGCAGGACGUUUCAGAAUGAUCACUGUGUGUGUCGAUGGAGCUGGGAGGGAUGGUGUCUGAGGCCGCGGUGGGUGGCGGUGGUGGAGGACGACCGUGGAGGAUGGUUUCAUUCUCAUCUUGCAAGGACAGGCUCAGGUAUUCUCCUUUAUUAUUAAAGCACACGUUGGAUCAGGCCACUUCUUCUGCAAGCUGCCCAUACAACAAGAGAAAGGCAUUAGGGGAUGCAGUCUAAAGACCAGACAUUAUGUUCUCCUGGCGAUGGUUUUCCUAUGGCUGGUUUUGUAGAAUUUCUUUUUAUUGUCUCUCUGCUGCUCCUCACCCUCAUGUCCGCUCUUGUUUGCAGUGGCCUCUUAUUUACAGAGAGUCCACACGUCGAAGUCGGGCUUAAGAAA